UGUCCUUAGUGGCGGACGGGUGAGUAACGCGUGGGCACCUGCCCUAGAGUGAAGGAUAACCACUGGAAACGGUGGCUAAUACUGCAUAAUCCCUGAGGGGGAAAGGCUUCGGCCGCUCUUGGAUGGGCCCGCGUUAGAUUAGCUUGUUGGUGGGGUAACGGCCUACCAAGGCGACGAUCUAUAGCUGGUCUGAGAGGAUGAUCAGCCACACUGGGACUGAGACACGGCCCAGACUCCUACGGGAGGCAGCAGUGGGGAAUAUUGGACAAUGGGGGAAACCCUGAUCCAGCAAUGCCGCGUGAGUGAAGAAGGCCUUAGGGUUGUAAAACUCUUUCACUGAUGAAGAUGAUGACGGUAAUCAGAGAAGAAGCCCCGGCUAACUCCGUGCCAGCAGCCGCGGUAAUACGGAGGGGGCUAGCGUUGUUCGGAAUUACUGGGCGUAAAGCGCACGUAGGCGGCGUAUCCAGUCAGGGGUGAAAGGCCUGGGCUCAACCCGGGAACUGCCUUUGAUACUGAUAUGCUUGAGUACGGGAGAGGGUAGUGGAAUUCCAAGUGUAGAGGUGAAAUUCGUAGAUAUUUGGAAGAACACCGGUGGCGAAGGCGGCUACCUGGCCCGGAACUGACGCUGAGGUGCGAAAGCGUGGGGAGCA
rnacentral:rRNA from 1 species